rnacentral:rRNA from 1 species
UACGUAGGGUGCAAGCGUUGUCCGGAAUUAUUGGGCGUAAAGAGCUCGUAGGCGGUUUGUCGCGUCUGCUGUGAAAACCCGAGGCUCAACCUCGCGCCUGCAGUGGGUACGGGCAGACUAGAGUGCGGUAGGGGAGAUUGGAAUUCCUGGUGUAGCGGUGGAAUGCGCAGAUAUCAGGAGGAACACCGAUGGCGAAGGCAGGUCUCUGGGCAUUAACUGACGCUGAGGAGCGAAAGCAUGGGGAGCGAACAGG